rnacentral:rRNA from 1 species
CCUACGGGAGGCUGCAGUGGGGAAUAUUGGACAAUGGGGGGAACCCUGAUCCAGCCAUGCCGCGUGUGUGAAGAAGGCCCUCGGGUUGUAAAGCACUUUCAGUGAGGAAGAACGCCUGGUGGUUAAUACCCAUCAGGAAAGACAUCACUCACAGAAGAAGCACCGACUAACUCCGUGCCAGCAGCCGCGGUAAUACGGAGGGUGCGAGCGUUAAUCGGAAUUACUGGGCGUAAAGCGCGCGUAGGUGGCUUGAUAAGCCGGUUGUGAAAGCCCCGGGCUCAACCUGGGAACGGCAUCCGGAACUGUCCAGCUAGAGUGCAGGAGAGGAAGGUAGAAUUCCCGGUGUAGCGGUGAAAUGCGUAGAGAUCGGGAGGAAUACCAGUGGCGAAGGCGGCCUUCUGGACUGACACUGACACUGAGGUGCGAAAGCGUGGGUAGCAAACAGGAUUAGAUACCCUGGUAGUC